rnacentral:rRNA from 1 species
GGUUCAGGACGAACGCUGGCGGCGUGCCUAAUACAUGCAAGUAGAACGCUGACUUACUUAGCUUGCUAGAGUAAUGAUGAGUUGCGAACGGGUGAGUAACGCGUAGGUAACCUACCUUAUAGCGGGGGAUAACUAUUGGAAACGAUAGCUAAUACCGCAUAACAGUUUUGGUCGCAUGACUGAGAUUUGAAAGGCGCAAUUGCGUCACUAUGAGAUGGACCUGCGUUGUAUUAGCUAGUUGGUGAGGUAACGGCUCACCAAGGCUUCGAUACAUAGCCGACCUGAGAGGGUGAUCGGCCACACUGGGACUGAGACACGGCCCAGACUCCUACGGGAGGCAGCAGUAGGGAAUCUUCGGCAAUGGACGGAAGUCUGACCGAGCAACGCCGCGUGAAGUGAAGUAAGGUUUUCGGAUCGUAAAGCUCUGUUGUAAGAGAAGAACGUUGAGUAGAGUGGAAAGUUACUCAAGUGACGGUAUCUUACCAGAAAGGGACGGCUAACUACGUGCCAGCAGCCGC